ACGGAGCUCGUUAAAAUAAUCUCACAGUGAGUAUAUGUAUAGGAGAAGAGCGAAAUCUGCGAUAACGUUAUCAUUAUCGUUUUAUAUCUGUAACGGGACACGCUUAUGAUAGUUGUCCAUUCGAUUCGAUUUCGUUUGGCGUCCACGCUGAACAUGGGACAAAAGAAACGAGGCUUCGAGAUUUCGCGACUUCCGCACGAACUCUAGAAAGAGGCUAUGAAAUCUGGAGCGCAGCUGCAUCGGGAAUUGUGCAGUCGGAGAAAAUUGCAAGAACCGUUCGACGAUAUUGCGAUGUAUGAAAAAAAUAAAAUAAGGAACGAGAAUUCAUUCUUUUAUGGUAACUGUACACAUAAAUAAAACUUGUAAAAUGUU